GACCUUCGGGAGCUUGUACAGGUGCUGCAUGGCUGUCGUCAGCUCGUGUCGUGAGAUGUUCGGUUAAGUCCGCUAACGAGCGCAACCCUCGCUGUGUGUUACAAGUGUCACACGGAACUGCCGGUCAUAAACCGGGGGAAGGUGGGGAUGACGUCAAGUCAGCAUGGCCUUUAUAUCCUGGGCUACACACACGCUACAAUGGGAAGGGACAAUAGGUUGCGAAGCCGCGAGGCGGAGCCAAUCCAGCAAAACUUCCCUCAGUUCAGAUUGCAGGCUGCAACCCGCCUGCAUGAAGUUGGAGUUGCUAGUAAACGCAGGUCAGCCAUACUGCGUUGAAUACGUUCCCGGGGCUU
rnacentral:rRNA from 1 species